rnacentral:rRNA from 1 species
GACAGAGGUGCCGAGCGUUAGGCGGAAUCACUGGGCUUAAAGGGUGCGCAGGCGGAUAUGUAAGUCAGUGGUGAAAUCUCCGGGCUUAACCCGGAAACUGCCGUUGAUACUAUAUAUCUUGAAUGCUGUGGAGGUAAGCAGAAUAUGUCAUGUAGCGGUGAAAUGCUUAGAGAUGACAUAGAAUACCUAUUGCGAAGGCAGCUUACUACGCAGAUAUUGACGCUCAUGCACGAAAGCGUGGGGAUCAAACAGG